AUUGGACGCUGGCGGCAUGCCUUACACAUGCAAGUCGAACGGCAGCACGGGAGCAAUCCUGGUGGCGAGUGGCGAACGGGUGAGUAAAGCAUCGGAACGUGCCCAGUCGUGGGGGAUAACGUAGCGAAAGCUACGCUAAUACCGCAUACGAUCUGUGGAUGAAAGCGGGGGACCGUAAGGCCUCGCGCGAUUGGAGCGGCCGAUGUCAGAUUAGGUAGUUGGUGAGGUAAAGGCUCACCAAGCCGACGAUCUGUAGCGGGUCUGAGAGGACGACCAGCCACACUGGGACUGAGACACGGCCCAGACUCCUACGGGAGGCAGCAGUGGGGAAUUUUGGACAAUGGGCGCAAGCCUGAUCCAGCAAUGCCGCGUGCAGGAUGAAGGCCUUCGGGUUGUAAACUGCUUUUGUACGGAGCGAAACGGCUUCCACUAAUACUGGGGGCUAAUGACGGUACCGUAAGAAUAAGCACCGGCUAACUACGUGCCAGCCGCCGCGGUAAAAC
rnacentral:rRNA from 1 species